AAUCAUGGCUCAGGAUAAACGCUGGCGGCGUGCAUAACACAUGCAAGUCGAACGAUGAACCUUAUUAGAUUUCUUCGGAAUGAAAAUAAGUGGAUUAGUGGCGAACGGGUGAGUAACACGUGAGUAACCUGCCUUACACAAGGGGAUAGCCUUUGGAAACGAAGAAUAAUACCCUAUAAAGUCAAUCAAUCGCAUGAUAGAAUGACCAAAGAUUUAUCGGUGUAAGAUGGACUUGCGU
rnacentral:rRNA from 1 species